CUCUUUUCAUGCUCCAGAAUGAGCCCCGCCUGAGAGGAGGGACCCCUGCGGAAUCCCGCCCAGACCGCCCGGGGGUCUCCCCAGCACAUGGGGCGGGGGCUGCAAGGGGCGCCCGGCAGGACUCGGGAGCCGCGGCGCGGUGGGGCGGAUUCCAGAAUUUUUUAAAGUUCACAACACGAGAGUGGACGAAAUGUCGGAGCUUUUGCUCAUAUCCAGAAAUGUGGCCUCUGCCUCCCACUCGGGCCCUGCGGUGCAGACGGGUUCAGGGCGGCGAGGACUGAGCCAGGAGCGCCGAGAGUUCCAGCUGCUCCCAGGCUGGGUUCUAAUUAACGCUGGACCCCUGCUGAGAUGGAGUCUCACUCUGUCGCCCAGGCUGGAAUGCAGUGGUGCAAUCUCGGCUCACUGCGAUCUCUGCGUCCUGGGUUCAAGCAAUUCUCCUGCCUCAGCCUCCCAAGUAGCUGUGACUACAGAGAAACGUGAACAGGCCAAACAAAGCCUCACCUGGCUAUCCCGCCACCCUGGGGUUGGGCCUCCAAAGGCCCGGGAGGUCACCUAAGACACGGUGUUCUGAACAUGCAAGCCCGACAGCAUCUUCUCUACCAUUCUGCCAGAGUCCAGAGACCUGGGAAUAGGUCAUACCCCCCACUGCAUUUUACAAGCUUGGCAUACAUUAGGUUCUCAAUAAAUACUGAAUUAAUGAAAAAA
rnacentral:lncRNA from 1 species